ACCCGCUGAACUUAAGCAUAUCAGUAAGCGGAGGAAAAGAAACUAACUAGGAUUCCCCGAGUAGCGGCGAGCGAAAGGGGAGAAGCCCAGCGCCGAAGCCCGCGGCCUCUGGUCGCAGUGCAAUGUGGCGUUUCGGCUGCGGCUCGCCGCGACUUCUCUGGCACGCGUACCUCUGAACGGGUCUGCCCUUAGCGGGUGUCAGGCCUCUACCUGCCGUGAGUCGUCGUGGCCCGCCGUAGCCGCGGAGUCGGGUUGCUUGAGAGUGCAGCCCAAAGUGGGUGGUAAGCUCCAUCUAAGGCUAAAUACCUAGUGCGAGACCGAUAGCAAACAAGUACCGUGAGGGAAAGUUGCAAAGAACUUUGAAAAGAGAGUUCAAGAGUACGUGAAACCGUUCAGAGGCAAACGGACGGAACUGGGCGAGUUCGUCGCGGUCAUUCAGCCGGCGCCUCACGGCGUCGGUGCACUUGGCCGUGGCGGAGCGCGACGACCGCCUGUCGGGUUGUCUGAAGCCCGGUGGCAAGGUGACGAAGCGCUUGCGCUUCGUGUUACAGGCCGCCGACGCGUCGACUGACCUGACGGGCGAGGAGCGCCUGCUGCGCACUCCCGCUUCGGCGGGAGCCGUCCGACCUGGUGGGCUCGCGGACGCCGGUGGCUAACUGCUUGCAGUUCGUUGUCGCGCGCUCUGCUUGUCGUGCCGGGCGGUGCGGCGUUGCGCACAGGGUCCGAGUCGCGUGGUUCCCGGCACUCCGUCCGACCCGUCUUGAAACACGGACCAAGGAGUUGAGCACGUGCGCGAGUCGAUGGGCGCGUACGAACCCCAGUGGCGUAGCUAAGGCAAAACGGGCGUGAUCCGGCACUAGCGUGUCGGCGCAACGCCGGCCCGCAGCCAACUCGAUGAGUAGCUGCGGCGCAAGAGCGCACGUGCUCAGACCCGAAAGGUGGUGAACUAUGCUUGAGCAGGGCGAAGCCAGAGGAAACUCUGGUGGAGGCUCGCAGCGAUCCUGACGUGCAAAUCGGUCGUCAAACUUGAGCAUAGGGGCGAAAGACUAAUCGAACCGCCUAGUAGCUGGUUCCCUCCGAAGUUUCCCUCAGGAUAGCUGGCACUCGAAAUCAACGGUUUUAUCCGGUAAAGCGAAUGAUUAGAGGCAUUGGGGGCGAAACGCCCUCAACCUAUUCUCAAACUUUAAAUGGGUAAGAAGCGCGACCCUUCCUGAUCGGGGUCGCGUGCUUGAACGGAGAGUGCCCAGUGGGCCGUUUUUGGUAAGCAGAACUGGCGCUGUGGGAUGAACCAAACGUGCGGUUAGGGUGCCUAACGCACGCUCAUGAGACACCACAAAAGGUGUUGGUUGAUAUAGACAGCAGGACGGUGGCCAUGGAAGUCGGAAUCCGCUAAGGAGUGUGUAACAACUCACCUGCCGAAUCAACUAGCCCUGAAAAUGGAUGGCGCUGGAGCGUGCGACCCAUACCGCACCGUCGGGGCAAUGCGUGCGAAAUGCCAGGCCCCGAUGAGUAGGAGGGCGUGUCGGUGGCGUUGAAGCGUUGUGCGUGAGCACGCGUGGAGCCGCCUUCAGUGCAGAUCUUGGUGGUAGUAGCAAGUAUACAAAUGAGAACUUUGUAGACCGAAGUGGAGAAGGGUUCCAUGUGAACAGCAGUUGGACAUGGGUCAGUCGGCCCUAAGAGAUCGGAAAAUUCCGUUCUGAACGGGGGAGGACUCGUGCUGGCGGCGUCUGAUUGAAACCUCGCGUUUCCUUGCGCUCGCUGGUCACGUGCAUGGCAUCCCCCGAUGCGAUCGAAAGGGAAUCGGGUUAAUAUUCCCGAACCAGGCGGCGGAGAUUGGGCCCUCGGGCCCCAGUGCGGUAACGCAACCGAACUCGGAGACGCCAGCGUCGAUCCCGGGAAGAGUUCUCUUUUCUUUGUUAGGAGCGGACUCCCUGGAAUUGGCUUGUCCAGAGAUAGGGACGUUGCAUCCGUAAAGCAUCGCGCCUCACGCGGUGUCCGGUGCAUCGGCGUUGGCCCUUGAAAAUCCGAGGAAGGCAGUGUAAUUUUCGCCCCUGGCCGUACCCGAAUCCGCAGCAGGUCUCCAAGGUGAACAGCCUCUGGUCGAUAGAACAAUGUAGGUAAGGGAAGUCGGCAAAUCCGAUCCGUAACUUCGGGAUAAGGAUUGGCUCUGAGGUGCGGGCUGUUUCGGGUCGCGGCAAGAAGCGGACCGUGCGUUGGCUGGACUGGACGUGCUCGCGCGCGUUCGGACCGCCGCCAGCGCGCGUCCGUGGGAGGCCGUGGCUUUCGCCGGCGGGGGCCUCGCGUCCCCGUCGGCUUCGUUCGGCCUAAACGCACAGCACAGAACUGGCACGGACUCUGGGAACACGACUGUCUAAUUAAAACAAAGCAUCGCGAUGGCCGCUGGUCGGUGUUGACGCGAUGUGAUUUCUGCCCAGUGCUUUGAAUGUCAAAGUGAAGAAAUUCAACCAAGCGCAGGUAAACGGCGGGAGUAACUAUGACU
rnacentral:rRNA from 1 species